rnacentral:rRNA from 1 species
UACAGAGGGUGCGAGCGUUGUCCGGAAUCACUGGGCGUAAAGGGCGCGUAGGCGGUGCGGUAAGCGUGCGGUGAAAGCUCGGGGCUCAACUCCGAGUCGGCCGUGCGAACUGGCGCACUGGAGCACACUAGAGGCGGAUGGAAUUCCGGGUGUAGCGGUGGAAUGCGUAGAGAUCCGGAAGAACACCGGUGGCGAAGGCGGUCCGCUGGGGUGUUGCUGACGCUGAGGCGCGACAGCGUGGGGAGCAAAC